GGGGCUACUGUUCCUAGGGGCUUUCCUAGUAAAUCUACUUCAAACUUUAAAUAGCCAAAAUGAUUGAAGUGAUAUCAACAUAAAGACUAAUGAGUUACUGCUCAGCAGUGCUCUAUUGAUGAGAGUGCAGAUGGUGGGAGCUGUCCAUUCUGGCACAGAGGUGUAUUUUAUCAUUGUAAUUGUUCAAAAUUGCUAGUUCUUAGUGUUAAUAAAAAUCAGAUGGAUUAUAGUCAGUUUCAUCAUUGUUUACGUUCUCUACAGACAAUGUGUUCCCUUCUUACCUACAGGCAGGGCCGACCACUACCACCAGCCCAACUGGAUAUACUGUUCCCGAAGCAGUGUGAAGAGAAUGUCGGAAGAUUACUGAGAAGUGCAAGGUUGGGAGGAGACACACUAAUCUUCCUACAAGUAAGACUUCUAGUCAUGAAAACCCUGUUGGAACAUCUGAAACGCUUUAUGUACAAGGACCUGUCUUAG
rnacentral:lncRNA from 1 species